UACGGGGGGGGCAAGCGUUGUUCGGAAUUACUGGGCGUAAAGGGCUCGUAGGCGGCCAACUAAGUCGGACGUGAAAUCCCUCAGCUUAACUGGGGAACUGCGUCCGAUACUGGAUGGCUUGGAUUUGGGAGAGGGAUGCGGAAUUCCAGGUGUAGCGGUGAAAUUCGUAGAUAUUCGCAAGAACACCAGUGGCGAAGGCGGCUCACUGGCCCGGUACUGACGCUGAGGUGCGAAAGCGUGGGGAGCAAACAGG
rnacentral:rRNA from 1 species